ACAUAAAUAUUUAUUGAGCUCUUGUGCUAGGAGGAUUGGAGAUACCAAGAUGUGGGAAACACUGUGGUUGGGGAGCGGUGCAUGUAAAGUCACUGAUGUACAGUGCACAAAAGAGAAGAGAAAGGAGAGAAGGCUACAACUUCCACUGUGAUAGUGAAGAAAAAUUGUGAGAAGAGAAAUCUCUGCCAUAUUUCUGAUCUCAACAAGAAAGUUUUAUACUUCUCAUCAUGCACAGUGAUGUCAUUCAUCAGUGUCUUGUAGAUGUUCUUUCAAGGCAUAGUUCUACUGAGAAUGUCCAUUAAUGGAAUGCUGCUAGAGUGAUGCAAGCAGGGCCAGCCGAAAAAGGCACAAUGGAACCAGAGGAUGGUCCCUAAUAUUGAAGACAUUUGAAGUCUUUAUAUUCUGAGAUGGUUCCUUAUGCAGGGAUAAUUAAUUGAACCAGGAUGCUGAUUUCCGUGAAGGUCCUGCGGAUGUGACAGUGGAAGAGCAGAUGCUGCCUUGCUUUCAUGGGAUGUAUAGCUGAUUGUGAAAGUUAAUUCAUUAAGAGGAAACAAGUGGAAGUGUUUGAUAUAGGAAUAAUUCUGUUAAGGAAUCAAACAGCAUGCUGAGGUAAGAGCUGAAGGAAAUGAAGUGUGUUUUUGGACCGAGUGGCCCAGGUGUAAUGGAGAAGGUAAGACAGAUCUUCUAAAAUUAGUGUUUUAUUCCCUUAGAGAUAGGCUGGGUUUUCAAAUUUCCUCCCCCUAACCCCCAAGGAUGUCACCCAGGAGGAUUUAAUGCUUCCAGACCCCAGUGCCAAUGCUUGACUAAAUAUGUAUGCACACAUCUUCUGGCUUUUGUUUUACUUCACUUAUAAAUUGGAGCGCUUUGAUGUGGGGUUGAGGUGGGGCACAACAGGACUAUUACAUGCCCCCUUCAACUUGGUGAAAUUAUAAAUAAAUGUAUUUUUCCAUUUUUAUAGGCUUUUCUCAUACUUUUGACAAACAAACCCAGGUACCCAGAC